rnacentral:rRNA from 1 species
AGCCAUGCAUGUCUAAGUACAAACUUUUACACGGUGAAACCGCGAAUGGCUCAUUAAAUCAGUUAUGGUUUAUUAGAUGGUGCUAUCCUACUUGGAUAACUGUGGUAAUUCUAGAGCUAAUACAUGCGACAAAGCUCCGACCCUCGUUGGAAAGAGCGCUUUUAUUAGAUCAAGACCAACCGGUAUCGCUUUCGGGUGUGCCGUCGGAUUGAUGACUCUGGAUAACCUUUGCCGAUCGUAUGGCCCCGCGCCGACGACGCAUCUUUCAAAUGUCUGCCCUAUCAACUUUCGUUGGUAGGUGAUUUGCCUACCAAGGUGUUUACGGGUAACGGGGGAUCAGGGUUCGAUCCCGGAGAGGGAGCAUGAGAAACGGCUACCACAUCCAAGGAAGGCAGCAGGCGCGCAAAUUACCCACUCUUAGCACGAGGAGGUAGUGACGAAAAAUAACAAUACGGGACUCUUUCGAGGCCCCGUAAUUGGAAUGAGUACACUCUAAACCCGUUAACGAGGAUCUAUUGGAGGGCAAGUCUGGUGCCAGCAGCCGCGGUAAUUCCAGCUCCAAUAGCGUAUAUUAAAGCUGUUGCAGUUAAAAAGCUCGUAGUCGGAUCUCGGGCGGCGGCCAAUGGUUCGGUUCCGUGCCGAUACUGCUGGUCGCGGCCUCCACGCCGGUCGUCUUUCGGUGCUCUUAACUGAGUGCCUUAAGUAGCCGGAGCGUUUACUUUGAAAAAAUUAGAGUGUUCAAGGCAGGCCUCGAGCCUGAAUGAUGGUGCAUGGAAUAAUGGAAUAGGACCUCGGUUCUAUUUUGUUGGUCUUCGGAACUGGAGGUAAUGAUUAAUAGGGACGGACGGGGGCAUUCGUAUUGCGGCGUUAGAGGUGAAAUUCUUGGAUCGUCGCAAGACGGACUACUGCGAAAGCAUUUGCCAAGAAUGUUUUCAUUGAUCAAGAGCGAAAGUCAGAGGAUCGAAGACGAUCAGAUACCGUCCUAGUUCUGACCAUAAACGAUGCCAACUAGCGAUCCGGCUCCGUUGCUUUAUAAGACUGGCCGGGCAGCUCCCGGGAAACCAAAGUCUAUGGGUUCCGGGGGAAGUAUGGUUGCAAAGCUGAAACUUAAAGGAAUUGACGGAAGGGCACCACCAGGAGUGGAGCCUGCGGCUUAAUUUGACUCAACACGGGAAAACUCACCCGGCCCGGACACCGUAAGGAUUGACAGAUUGAAAGCUCUUUCUUGAUUCGGUGGGUGGUGGUGCAUGGCCGUCUUAGUUGUGAG